rnacentral:lncRNA from 1 species
UCUACGACUACCGAUAUACUAUUGUUAUUGACAUAUAGUCAGCUUAUCUAAAACUGCCAGUGCAGAAAAUGUAUAAUGGCUAGAACAUGAUCAGUGACACAUGUCUAACCGUUAUAAACGGUUAUCAACUCUAUGUCAUGAUCAUUAGUGGACAUAAACAGCCCAUUAACUCCAUGAUUAUGGUCCAAUAAUUAUUCUUUAGUGCCAUAAAAAAUAGGAUCACGUGCUCGACGGUUACAUCUGAAUCAUCUAUAAAAGGGAGAUA